rnacentral:tRNA from 1 species
CCGACCUUAGCUCAGUUGGAAGAGCACAAGACUGUAAUUGGUUUCCUCAUGGAUCUUGGGGUCGCCUGUUCGAACCAGGCAGGUCGGA